CUUACACAUUGGCGGUGUUUUUGAAGUGACAGUGUCACUAUCAGCAGACGACUGAACAAACAUGGCAUGGUCAGGUCACUCAGGAUCCGAGUUCCAGCAGUUUAAAAACACCUCGGCCACAAGAGGAAAUAAGUUUCAACAGCAGCAGCGGAGUAUAUUAGGAAACAACAACCAAUUCAAUGUUAAACAUUUCCAACAAGCUGGAGCCAUUGUGAAAAUUGAAGAUGUCAAUCAGUCUUCAUCAAACAUUAGUGUUGUUGGAAUUAUAAUAGCUAAAGAGUCACCCAAGUCUAUUAUCUCAAGGAAAA